UUAGAGAUUAUACAUAGACUGUUAUUCCUUAACAGUUACAAUAUACCACAGUUGAAUGUUACAGAAGCGAACAAGAUACCAGAACUUAUAUUGUACAAUAAAAAUGACGUGGAAAUAUUUAGAUUACCAUUGGACAAAACGACAUAUGAAAAGUUAGAUCAUUUGAUUAAAGAUUUAGGAUUUUACCGCCAGAAAAAGUUCAGUGACAAACUUCCAGCUGAAUAUGAAAACGGACCAGUUCCUCCGCCAGAUGGCAUUUCUAUCGACGAUCUCCUGGUCGGAUUCUCCCUUUGUGGACGCUAUGGAAUAAAAAGUGAAUUAACUGCAGAAUAUUCUUGUGGAAAAUAAACCAACUUAGUAUGACUACAAAAGAAAAAAUACAGCUUGAUACUCAAUGAUAUGUUUAUUGAAACAAUUAAAUUAAAUAUAAACAUGGAUGACUGGUUUCAUGCUGUACUUCAUAAAUAUCAAUAUUAAAAAGUAAAGUUGUGCAUGCACAUUUAAUGUUCAAUAUGGUAAAUAUUUCUAAUACUUUGUUUUUUGUAUAAUUUAAUGUCACGGCGGAGUAAGGACCUUGAAAUAAAUAUACACAGCAGCA